CUGAGACAGACCCAACGCAGCAGACGCUAUCAAGGACAUUCCAUCCUGGCUAAGUGGUGGGCAGAGUCACUAAACUGCAGCUAUUGCAAUCACUCAGAUCCACCUGUCCCUCCCUACUCAGCAGGGGAUAGUAUUUAAAUUCUGCUGCACAUGAAGGAAGGUGCUGGAGUAUUGUUUUGCUGACUGUCCCACUGGUUUGUGUUUCUGCCAGAUUCGUUGUUGUUCCAGUAAUUAAGUUCCUUUGUGAUUUUCUGUUUCCUUUUUUAUCUCUCAUCAGCGUACAAGAAGUACUUCAGGUUUUUGUUUCUCUUAAAGUGAUUUUCUGUUUUGUUUUUGUAAAUACCUUUUUACACUGCUCCAUUGUUACCUUUCUCUGUGACUUUGUCCACCACCUUUUGUUGAGCAACUCCCCUCGCUUUGGUUUAAGGGCCUCAACUAUAAUUUGGACCAUGUUCUCCAUAAGCAAUUCAUCAAACCUCUGCAAGGUGCCAAAGAGAGCCAGAAUCAAGAAUUUGUGUCCCAUCUUGGAUGAGAGUCGGCUGCCAAGCAGAGUUAUGUGUGGAAUUUGCUGAUGGCAGUGGGAACAGCGGCUGCCUCACCUUUCUCCCUCAUGUUUCUUGUAACCUCAGCCACUCCAUGUGUCCUCUGUACAUGCAUCCUGUUCAAAACCUCUGUGGCUUUUGUUCACUCUUUUCUUCAUUUUCUUGGGGAUUAAA